GAUGAACGCUGGCGGCGUGCCUAAUACAUGCAAGUCGAGCGAACGGACGAGAAGCUUGCUUUUCUGAUGUUAGCGGCGGACGGGUGAGUAACACGUGGAUAACCUACCUAUAAGACUGGGAUAACUUCGGGAAACCGGAGCUAAUACCGGAUAAUAUUUUGAACCGCAUGGUUCAAAAGUGAAAGACGGUCUUGCUGUCACUUAUAGAUGGAUCCGCGCUGCAUUAGCUAGUUGGUAAGGUAACGGCUUACCAAGGCAACGAUGCAUAGCCGACCUGAGAGGGUGAUAGGCCACACUGGAACUGAGACACGGUCCAGACUCCUAAGGGAGGCAGCAGUAGGGAAUCUUCCGCAAUGGGCGAAAGCCUGACGGAGCAACGCCGCGUGAGUGAUGAAGGUCUUCGGAUCGUAAAACUCUGUUAUUAGGGAAGAACAGAUGUGUAAGUAACUGUGCACAUCUUGACGGUACCUAAUCAGAAAGCCACGGCUAACUACGUG
rnacentral:rRNA from 1 species